rnacentral:rRNA from 1 species
GACGAACGCUGGCGGCGUGCUUAACACAUGCAAGUCGAACGGAAAGGCCCCUUUGGGGGUACUCGAGUGGCGAACGGGUGAGUAACACGUGAGUAACCUGCCCUUGACUUCGGAAUAACUUCAGGAAACUGGGGCUAAUACCGGAUAGGAAUCCUUGCUGCAUGGUGGGGGUUGGAAAGCUUCGGCGGUUUUGGAUGGACUCUCGGCUUAUCAGCUUGUUGGUGGGGUAGUGGCUUACCAAGGCUUUGACGGGUAGCCGGCCUGAGAGGGCGACCGGCCACAUUGGGACUGAGAUACGGCCCAGACUCCUACGGGAGGCAGCAGUGGGGAAUAUUGCACAAUGGGCGGAAGCCUGAUGCAGCAACGCCGCGUGCGGGAUGACGGCCUUCGGGUUGUAAACCGCUUUCAGCAGGGGCGAAGCUUGUGGUGACGGUACCUGCAGAAGAAGCACCGGCUAACUACGUG